rnacentral:rRNA from 1 species
AAAUGAAUAGACGGGGACCCGCACAAGCAGCGGAGCGUGUGGUUUAAUUCGUUGCUACACGAAGAACCUUACCUGGGUUUGACAUACUGGUUGUAGAGAACUGAAAAGGGACCGACCCUUCGGGGAGCCAGUACAGGUGUUGCAUGGCUGUCGUCAGCUCGUGUCGUGAGAUGUUCGGUUAAGUCCGCUAACGAGCGCAACCCUCGUCGUAUGUUACAUGUGUCAUACGAGACUGCCGGUAAAAAGCCGGAGGAAGGUGAGGAUGAUGUCAAGUCAGCAUGACCUUUAUGUCCAGGGCUACACACACGCUACAAUGGUCUGUACAAUGGGUAGCCAAGCCGCGAGGCGGAGCCAAUCCUGAAAGCAGGCCUCAGUUCGGAUUGCAGUCUGCAACUCGACUGCAUGAAGUAGGAGUUGCUAGUAACCGCAGGUCAGCUAUACUGCGGUGAAUACGUUCCCGGGUCUUGUACACACCGCCCGU